rnacentral:rRNA from 1 species
GAUGAACGCUGGCGGCGUGCCUAAUACAUGCAAGUCGAGCGAACAGACGAGGAGCUUGCUCCUCUGACGUUAGCGGCGGACGGGUGAGUAACACGUGGAUAACCUACCUAUAAGACUGGGAUAACUUCGGGAAACCGGAGCUAAUACCGGAUAAUAUAUUGAACCGCAUGGUUCAAUAGUGAAAGACGGUUUUGCUGUCACUUAUAGAUGGAUCCGCGCCGCAUUAGCUAGUUGGUAAGGUAACGGCUUACCAAGGCAACGAUGCGUAGCCGACCUGAGAGGGUGAUCGGCCACACUGGAACUGAGACACGGUCCAGACGCCUACGGGAGGAAGCAGUAGGGAAUCUUCCGCAAUGGGCGAAAGCCUGACGGAGCAACGCCGCGUGAGUGAUGAAGGUCUUCGGAUCGUAAAACUCUGUUAUUAGGGAAGAACAAAUGUGUAAGUAACUAUGCACGUCUUGACGGUACCUAAUCAGAAAGCCACGGCUAACUACGUG